UAGGGUGCGAGCGUUGUCCGGAAUUACUGGGCGUAAAGAGCUCGUAGGUGGUUUGUCGCGUUGUUCGUGAAAACUCACAGCUUAACUGUGGGCGUGCGGGCGAUACGGGCAGACUAGAGUACUGCAGGGGAGACUGGAGUUCCUGGUGUAGCGGUGGAAUGCGCAGAUAUCAGGAGGAACACCGGUGGCGAAGGCGGGUCUCUGGGCAGUAACUGACGCUGAGGAGCGAAAGCGUGGGGAGCGAACAGGAUUAGAUACCCUGGUAGUCCACGCCGUAAACGGUGGGUACUAGGUGUGGGUUCCUUCCUUGGGAUCCGUGCCGUAGCUAACGCAUUAAGUACCCCGCCUGGGGAGUACGGCCGCAAGGCUAAAACUCAAAGGAAUUGACGGGGGCCCGCACAAGCGGCGGAGCAUGUGGAUUAAUUCGAUGCAACGCGAAGAACCUUACCUGGGUUUGACAUGCACAGGACGCCGGCAGAGAUGUCGGUUCCCUUGUGGCCUGUGUGCAGGUGGUGCAUGGCUGUCGUCAGCUCGUGUCGUGAGAUGUUGGGUUAAGUCCCGCAACGAGCGCAACCCUUGUCCUAUGUUGCCAGCGGGUUGUGCCGGGGACUCGUAGGAGACUGCCGGGGUCAACUCGGAGGAAGGUGGGGAUGACGUCAAGUCAUCAUGCCCCUUAUGUCCAGGGCUUCACACAUGCUACAAUGGUCGGUACAAAGGGCUGCGAUGCCGUGAGGUGGAGCGAAUCCUUUCAAAGCCGGUCUCAGUUCGGAUCGGGGUCUGCAACUCGACCCCGUGAAGUCGGAG
rnacentral:rRNA from 1 species